rnacentral:rRNA from 2 species
AACGAACGCUGGCGGCAGGCUUAACACAUGCAAGUCGAGCGCCCCGCAAGGGGAGCGGCAGACGGGUGAGUAACGCGUGGGAACGUACCCUUUACUACGGAACAACUCCGGGAAACUGGAGCUAAUACCGUAUGUGCCCUUUGGGGGAAAGAUUUAUCGGGUAAAGGAUCGGCCCGCGUUGGAUUAGCUAGUUGGUGGGGUAAAGGCCUACCAAGGCGACGAUCCAUAGCUGGUCUGAGAGGAUGAUCAGCCACAUUGGGACUGAGACACGGCCCAAACUCCUACGGGAGGCAGCAGUGGGGAAUAUUGGACAAUGGGCGCAAGCCUGAUCCAGCCAUGCCGCGUGAAUGAUGAAGGCCUUAGGUUGUAAAGUUCUUUCACCGGAGAAGAUAAUGACGGUAUCCGGAGAAGAA